GAGGCCAGCAGCUGUAAGCAGCAGAGACAAGAAUGAGACGGUGGCUUCAGAAAAACUUCAGAAAACUGUAAAUCUGGUUGUAGGGCAGCUGGUUGCAUUGAUAAUGCUGCAGCCCUUAAACACAAAAUGCUAGAUUGGUAUAAAACCAUUCUGAUGUAAGAUGCAUCAGCCUAUGGGACUCCAAACAGCACAGAACUGGGUCAAGAAUGCUCCCGCCAGGAAAGCCAAUGGUUACUUAAGGUUUGUCUACUCGGGGAGCUCAGAGCUGCUGAUGGAUGUUACCAAGCUUCAUGUGAACCAGCUUCAUCCAUGAAAAGGUAGCAGAAGGUGAAGUGUGCCAAAUUCAUGGCUGCUGGAAGCCACUUUCAAACUUCUAGCAAGGUGGUCUGUCCAGCUUUUAUUGCCACUGCUCUGUAUUGGUUACAGCUACAAGGAAAGGAAAUGUAUACCUGCCACUUGAAGUACCCAGAUGCAGGACAGACAUCUUGAGAGGACAUGCUCAAACAUUUCUGCCUAUUUUCAAGUGAGAAUAUUUACCUCUUGCAGUUCUGGAACUUCCAUGGCAGAUGAAGAAAAGAAACUGAAGACAAUGAGAUGAAGGAGGGAUUAUUCCCCUUUAACCAGGUUGUAACACAAACUUUCAGAAACUAUUUGUUACUUCCAUUGUCACAGGAACCACGUGACCACAGAUGAGAAUAACAUAUUUCCAACCAAAUUCUGUAACAACAUUUUCUCAACUGCUAAAGGAGUAAUAAGCUGAUGGUAAAACAUGAAUCAUUUAGUCUAUAUAAAUACAUGAUUUUAGCAUGGGUGCAUUGUGGAAAGCUAUGUCACAAGUGUAUGAUGUAUAUUGAAAGAUGAUGGAUAAUUUCACUGCAAUUAUUUGUUCUUUUUCAGAAGCCAUCUUAUCAUUUUCUGUAUUUUUCAUGAUUCUCAGCAGUGUAAAUGUGAGACUGAAUUAGGAAAAUCAGCCAAUUCUGGAUCAGGAUUGAUGUAGCAAGGUCACGAAGCAUUUCAACCGUGCAUGAAAAAGAGCUGGUAAUGUUGGAAUGUUAGUAUGCGGUAUUCAAUUAAGUGCUACAUAUUGUAGGAAGUAAAAAGAAACUAUUGGAUUUGUCAUGAAGUCACACUUCACUUUUUCUACAACUUACCAGUCAUUAUCAAGCUCUGAUGGCAGAUGAAGGAGCCAGUUUCUUCCAGUCUUUAGCAGGAAAGAAUGAAAACUCUUUCCUAUAACCAAAUCUCAUAGUUUUAAAAGUCACAGUACUGAUUAACCCGUAUGUAUUAGCUUUUGUCAAGCCCACAUGUAUUAGGUUUAGUCAUCUGAAUUUUUCUUGGUCUUUGCUGUAUAUCUUAGACUUAAAUUUUAUUUUGCCACCUAAUUUAAUGUUAUCAAAGCUUUAGACUGCAAUAUCAGUGUGUCUGCAUCUUGUUGAAUAAGUAUGAACUAUUUCCAAUGUGACUUGUGAGCCUGGGACCAAAAAAGGCGACAGAAAAGAGAAAGAAAAAUAUGUGAUGGCUGAGAAAACUGUAACAAGUCCUUACAAAGUUGAAGAUGUGAAGUGGAUAUGAUACAAACCUGUCAUUUUAUUCUGGUCAGAAAACUCGUGGGAUGGAUGAGAAAUAGAACAUGUUUGAGCACUGGAACUUUUUUUUUUAAACAAACUAUGAGAUGAAUUCUGUGAAGAAAAAAGGAGUUAGUCAGUAUCACCUCAUUUGUCAUUCCUGUAGAGCAAAGAAGAACAUGUUACUUCAGCUCUUCUGAAACCAAGCUGCAGCAUGAAAUUCAUAGAGGUCCCUGGAAGAUCUAUGUCUCCACCUAUGGAUAGGAAUACCUGCAAGCACUUAUAUUACCUGUACAGCUGUCUGUCUUCAGCACUGUUGUUUGGUGUCUGUAUUAGAAAAAAUACAGCUAUAGACUCAUACACAGUAAUUUGACAGCUCUAUCUGGGAUUUCGUAAUCCAUAAAAUUCUACGUGAAUAGGAAAAUGCUGAUAAAUUUCAGGAGGUGCCGAAGUAUAGUCCAACUCAUUUUAACAACCGAGGCUGUUAUGUAACAGGACUUUUCCUUGUAUGUCCUUUUUCUAAAGGAAAUAGAAGAUUUUCUGCCUCACUGUGGAGAGGAUCAAAAACUGAGCCAGGUUACAGAGCUUAUGGUGAAGUGAGGAGUUUUGUUCACUUCAAUCCCAGAACCACCAGAUUCCAAAGUUACUAUCACCACAGUGGUGGUGGUAAUAUUUCAACACUUAGUUGAGGAUUGUGUCCCUUAAAGUCAACAAACUUGUAGCAUGGUAUUAAUAUAAUCUUUAAUACUCAUUAAAACUGAAAAUAUGGCCUUUUGAAAUAAUACUGCCUUCUUUCCUGAAAUGGUUAUAGUGCUAGAAGCAUUAUUUGACAGUAGCAAAAUGUCUUAUUGAUGUGCCUUUAAAAGAAAGUUUUACAGAAAGCAUUUUAAUGCACUUAGCCAUUGAAAAAUUUACUUGCUGUGCAGUUUUUUGAAUAACAUAUAUUGAAUAUAGUAUUUAUGAUGAGAUUUAGAACCAGGAUGUAUUAGUAUGUAGAUGAAAAUUACUUAUGCUGUGUUUUUGCAAUUAUUCUCUGGCAUAAAUCUGGAAUGAAGUCCCUAGAAAUUCCAACAUAAAAAUCUGAAAUGUAAUAUUAAUAACCUGAAAUUGAGUAGUGCUCUUGAACUGUAGUAGAAAUAUUGUGUCCUCAAUUGUAAUUAAUUUCAUUCAAUUUCAGUAUACAUGAGAGAUGAAUGUGAUGGAAGACAGUAUCAAUAAGUAAUAAAUGAAAUAGUAUCAAUAAGAAAUAAAUGAAAUAACUGAUAUUCCAGAUCUUUACAGACAGUGCUAAUCUUGUUGCAACAACCUCAGGCAUAGAAGGAUACUAAUUAAUGACUCAAAUUAAUAAAUUUGAGAAUUUACUUUAAAAAUAAAUAAUCCUAAAGCUUUUUGCUUAAAAAAAUAUAAUCGUUCUUAAAAAUUAAAUCUCUAAAUUUCUGCUAAUUGAUUCACAUGCUUGGCUAUAUUUUAUUAUUCACUUUCUGAAUAACAAAAGCAUUGGAUAGUGAAAAUAGUUGUAAGAAGCAAGAGGAGAAAUUAUUUCUUGUGCCAGUUGACUAUCAUUUGAUGACUAAAAAAUUAUCAAUGACAAGGAGGAAGCACAAACCUGCUUAUACUAGUACUUCAAAAUGUUACAACUUGAGUUGUCCAUCUGUUGUGCUGAAAGAAGACGUGAUUUUUGCUCCAUGUGCUAUCAUUGCCAUAUAUGAUAAAGCUGUACAAACAGAUAUGUAAUAUUGAUUAACAAAAAAGAACAAGAGACAGGGCUACAGAAGGAUAUUCAGACAUCCAAGGUAGGAUAUCAAUUUGCGACACUCUACCUGUCUCCACAGCACAAAGAGGGAAGAGAACAUGCUUCUCUUUUUUAGCCAAGUGUAGGCUGGGUAGAUGGCUACUUAGAAACUCUUGAGUUUCAUGCAUUCAGUCUGCUUGUUCCAGUCUGGCACUCUUUCUAAAGUGUCUUUCUGCUUUAUUUAUUGUGUCAGCCAGAAGUGGUAACGUUAAUGCUCUAUUUUAAUUUCUGAAAUAAAACAAUCCUCAAGUUUCUUCAUAUGGUUCCCGUAGGCUCUCAAUAUUACUCUGAAACUUACUGCCUUUUACUGCCUUGGCAGAUAUCAAUAUUGACUGUGAAGAGUUAAAUGAAAUGGCCAGGAUGCCUUUGGCACAUUGUUCAUAGUCUCACCUAAGCAGACAUGAAAAACAGUAAGUAGAAGAGACUUGCAAUCAUGCACGGGCAAAAAAAGUGGCCACUGCACCUUUCACUCCCUCAUGAAGUUUACUACCAGACAAAAGAUAAAUCUGAGUUGUAUGUAGUAUGCAGACUUUUGACCGGCCAAACAAAAAAAAAAGUUCACCUUAGAAAACCUAAAUCGUCCUUCUGAGUCGCAAAACCUAAUCAAAAACUUUACACACACAUAUAUAUGUUUGUUAUAAUUAGCACAGAACUGGACAUAAGUUCUUUUUUUUAAUCUCUAUAAUUAGAGUAAGAUCACUUAAUUUGAAUUUCCCCUGGAUGUAUUUUUAUAGCACUUGGGCCAUUCAGGUUUGUUUCAGGUUUUUUUUUUGUUGUUCUUGAUUUUUUUUUGUGUCUAUUGUUGCAUUGCUUUUUUUCCUG